rnacentral:ncRNA from 1 species
CGGGCCGGGGCUGCGGGCGGUAAAAGACCAAAGAACCUGGGGAAAAAACCCUUCCAACCAACCAAACCUCGCGCAUGUCACACGAGCGGGUGAAACAGGUGGGAGCGGGUGGCGCGCGGGUAACUCGGGCGUGCAGUCUCGCCGUAGGCAAGUCCUACAACUCCACAUCCCCACACAUACUUCGGCCCCCGCCGGGACGGCAAUCCCAGUGCGAGGGCCUGACCAACGAGGAAGAGACACGCUUCCCC